rnacentral:rRNA from 1 species
UAUUGCACAAUGGGGGAAACCCUGAUGCAGCGACGCCGCGUGAGCGAAGAAGUAUUUCGGUAUGUAAAGCUCUAUCAGCAGGGAAGAAAAAAUGACGGUACCUGCAAAGGAAGCACCGGCUAACUCCGUGCCAGCAGCCGCGGUAAUACGGAGGUUGCGAGCGUUAAUCGGAAUUACUGGGCGUAAAGCGCUCGUAGGCGGUAUGUCAAGUCAAGGGUGAAAUCCCCGCGCUCAACGUGGGAACUGCCUUUGAAACUGGCAAACUGGAGCGUGUGAGAGGAUAGUGGAAUUCCAGGUGUAGGAGUGAAAUCCGUAGAUAUCUGGAGGAACAUCAGUGGCGAAGGCGACUAUCUGGCACAUAGCUGACGCUGAGGAGCGAAAGCGUGGGUAGCAAACAGG